rnacentral:rRNA from 1 species
AUUGAACGCUGGCGGCAGGCCUAACACAUGCAAGUCGAGCGGUAGAGAGAAGCUUGCUUCUCUUGAGAGCGGCGGACGGGUGAGUAAUGCCUAGGAAUCUGCCUGGUAGUGGGGGAUAACGUUCGGAAACGGACGCUAAUACCGCAUACGUCCUACGGGAGAAAGCAGGGGACCUUCGGGCCUUGCGCUAUCAGAUGAGCCUAGGUCGGAUUAGCUAGUUGGUGAGGUAAUGGCUCACCAAGGCGACGAUCCGUAACUGGUCUGAGAGGAUGAUCAGUCACACUGGAACUGAUACACGGUCCAGACUCCUACGGGAGGCAGCAGUGGGGAAUAUUGGACAAUGGGCGAAAGCCUGAUCCAGCCAUGCCGCGUGUGUGAAGAAGGUCUUCGGAUUGUAAAGCACUUUAAGUUGGGAGGAAGGACAUUAACCUAAUACGUUAGUGUUUUGACGUUACCGACAGAAUAAGCACCGGCUAACUCUGUGC